UCUAAGGAAAUCGAAAAAUAUUAAGUCAAUUAUUUUCGAUUUAAAAAAAUCGGUUAAUGUGACCGUCCUCAUUUCUCUUCUUUUAAUGUCUCUAAGUAAAUCGAGGGGCCGGUAGCUCAGGUGGUUAGAGCGCACCCCUGAUAAGGGUGAGGUCGGAAGUUCGAGUCUUCCUCGGCCCACCAAUAUUAUGGGGGAUUAGCUCAGCUGGGAGAGCGCCUGAUUUGCAUUCAGGAGGCCAGCGGUUCGAUCCCGCUAUCCUCCACCAAAAUUUGAGACAUUUAGCUUUUUUAAAUUGUGAAUAUUAUUAUUAUCAAUAUCUAUAUCCGAUUGUUUUCAAUAUUUUUUUUGAAAACAAUCAAAACAAAAAUUUAAUUUAUUACAGAAAAGUUUUUUUCUGUGCAUAAAU
rnacentral:tRNA from 1 species